UAUUAGUUUUUGGUCCUAUGUUAUUGGCGACGAUUGGAACGCCAGCGGUAGCAUCUAGUUUUACUGCAUUACACUGUUUUCCUUUGCCGCCAAUCGCUGCCAUCGCCACCACCGCAUCGUCUGCUAGCUGGUGAAAACUCACAAGCUCAGCCCUGGUGGGCAGGGCCACUAAUAAUCGCUGUAGCUGGCUGGUCCUUACCGGUUUUAGCGGACAGCAGCGCCACCAGUACUAAAAACAAUAGCAGAAUUCCAGCAAUACCGGACCAUGAUCAGUGACCGGGUUGGCAGUGGCCCACGACGCCGCCCCAAUAGGACGACCUCCCUUUCCUACAUGUGCCAUUGCUGAUGCUGAAACAACCAGCCGGCAAUCGACUGACUGGACAAAGUAGGCUAGCUCGUUGACCCUCUCGGGGUGUGUUCGAGACGGCGGCCAGCGCCGACGACAUCCGCUAAUAAUCGUGGUGGGCUGCUGGCUAACGUGUAGAGUUCGGCAAUUACUUCAUAUACGUUUGGUAAUAAUGCCACCGCUGCCACUGUUGUUAUUGUUGUAGUUGUCGUUGUUGCUAUUGUUAUUGCUGCAGUUGAUGCGAAAGGAGAAAUACGUGCUGCUGUUCAACUAGUGUGAUUGACUGCCGCUAGAGAGCAGUGGGACUAAGUAUCGGACUCCGGCGUCUUGCUCGAUGUAUGAAUGAGAGCAGGCGUCAUCGAUGGAGCCUUUUUUACAGUAUGAAUGACUUGUCGCUGCUGCUGCUGCUGUGUCUACGGGUAAACGGGUGUUCUCCGCGAUUGAAAUACUGAAAAAAAAAAAGAAAAAACGGAAUGUACUAUUAUUACGUGCACGAAGGCUACGGCGGCUUCUGGUAGAGUUCAAUCGUGAGGCCAUCGAAAUAUUCACGGAGAAAGCAAUGGGCCUCGAAAGAAGUUACGGCACUGCUCCCGUCGAACAAAAUAACUGUGGUAUUAACGAUGCAACUGGUUCCGGCUGCGAACACUUGUCAAAAUCGAGCAUCUCAAUAGUGUGGAACAAAUGAAAAGAAGCGAAACAAACGAGUACACCUAUUUGAAGAAUAGUUGAAAGACUUAUCUAUUUCAUGGAUGAGUGUAUCUCUCUUAGCCUACAUUUCUAUAUCUAAAUGGGCGGCAACCAUUGAAGAAUCAUCCGUAGCUGUGCUCCUUUUCUGACUUUGAAGUGACUCAGGCGAGCGACGUUUUGCCGUCUGGUGUUGUUUUUACGUCAUAUACGCUCUAUAUACGUGCAAAUCUAUGUAAUAGCUAUUCCAGUGGCAAAUGGCUAAGUGGUACACAGUAAGUAGCAUAUAAGUGAGUGGAAUAUUAUAAAUUGUCGCUUAUGGCAAAUUAUAAUUGCCGCUUUAUCAGUCAGGAACGGUUGCUGGGAGCUGGGUAUCAUCCCGUGUGUUUGUGUGUAAAUGUUUUCUAUUGAUUUAUUGCCAGUUAAACCCAAUGCUGCGGAAUCGAACUGUUAAGCGGUCAGGCCGCAAAUCCGGUUAUAGCUGAUAAUACAAGUUCGCUGAACGGGCAACAUCAAACUAUCGGUUGGUAGACACAUCGGCAGGAAUCGUUGAAGGUACCAGUUAAGGCCAGCGCAAGGCUUCGGUUACUGACUGUGGUCAGGACACUUCAUAGCCCUGUUCUGAUGGACGUCAACACCAACUAGCUAAAUUUGCUGCCAUCGAAACGAAUUUAUGUCCUGAUUGAAAGAGGCGGCGUGUGUUCCAAUGCAGAAUUGACACCAUCGUAAAAUCAACGUUGUAGCCAUUGCAGAGUGACCCCUUUCCAUCAAAAUGCCUCGGGAUUUAUUAGCAGAACUACAGAGCCGGGCGGCCCCCGUCAAUGAGGAGGAUGAGAACAAGAAGUCAGCAGAAGUUGAAGAGACGGUCACAAUUGAGAUUGAAAAUAACAAUCAAGUGAUGGUCGAUCAACUGGGCGACUUCCGGAAGAAGGCUCAACAGGUACAGGACGACUUGGAUCGGAUGCGCGAACGUACUGAUCAUGUUAAAGACAUUCAUGCAGAGAUAUUAUCGAGCCCGGACGGGGGGGAUAGAAAUAAUGAGCUGGAAGACGUUAUGGCCGAGGUGAAAAGGUUGGCCUCUCGCAUCCAGGGAGCACUCAAAAUGAUCAAACAGAAGGCAGAAGAAGCUAUCAAUGAAAAUCCCACCUCAGCGGUGUCGCGAAUGAAGCUCAUCCAACAGCAGACCUUGAGCAAGACGUUCGUGGAUAUAAUGAUGGACUAUAAUCACGCCCAGAUGGAAUAUCGGGAAAGGUGUAAGGAUCGUAUCAAACGACAACUGUUUAUCACAGGACAGUCUACUACAGACGAAAAACUUGAAGAGAUAAUUGAGUCUGGGAAUGUCGAUGUGUUCACGCAGGGUACCAUAAUGAAGACGGCGAAAGCGAAAGAGGCCUUAGCAGAUGUACAGGCCCGACACAAAGAUAUCCUCCAGCUAGAAAAAUCAAUACGCGAAUUGCGAGAUAUGUUUCUCGAGAUGGCCGUUCUCGUUGAAGGUCAAGGCGAGAUGGUCAAUCGGAUCGAGUACAACGUUGCCAACGCGCGUGAUUUCGUUGAACAGGCGAAGAAGGAAACCGCACAGGCAGUGGAAUAUCAAAAAGCGGCGCUAAAAAAGAAAUUCUGGCUUAUCGCUAUAGGCCUAUCAAUUCUUCUUAUUAUUAUAAUCAUCAUUUUUGUAGGAGAGAAGGUUUCAUAGUCAUCAACGUGUUACCUUUGACCACUCACGUAAUCACGAAGUAUGUCAAAUAAAAUCUAAGCAAGAAAAAGCAUAGUAAAACGUAACGUCAGUUACGGGAAAAAUCAUCGCUUCUGUAGGAAGAGCCAAUGGCAAUUUUUCUUUCUUAUCAUUAUAAUUUAUAAUAAUAACGCCUUUAGUCGUGCGAAAAAAUAACGUUCGUUCGCAUUAGUUCCUAGAGAGACCUCGAAAUGAUUCACCAAAUGCUUACAGAUAACUGUCAGUUUCAACUUAGCUUCCCAUCAAGGUUACCAGUAUGCAGAAGUGCCCUACAGCGAAUCCGAAUGAUGGUAUGACUAAAAACGUGUUUUUUUUGUCGCCUGAGUGUAGUAAGAAUGCGUACGUGUUUAAAUGAAAAAAAUAAAAAAAAAAACACACUAAAGUGUAUUAUGUCGUAAAAGCAAAGUAACAACGAAAUAACAAAUUGUGGCCAAAUACCGUUAAUUAGGGACGCGAUCGUGAGAAAUCUUAUCCUUCAUUUAAUACAGAACAUCCGGGGGUUAACCGAAAGGGUUCUGUUUGGAGUAAAAGCCUUAAAAGUAUGCCUAAAGGUCCGCUAAAUACAUCGCUGAUUUUGAGACCAUAAGCGCGGAUCGUAUAAUCCAUUCAAAAGGCCACGAUUGCGACGAUUCAGCAGCAUUAGGUUUGGCAAGUUAGGCAAGUACAGUUCGACCUAUCUGUAAACUAUACUGCAAAUGGCAUCGCAGGACCUGGACGUUUUUUUUACCUAACCUAUAAAAGUGCGAAGCUUCAAUCUGUAGAAUAGACUGCCUUGAGUUGAAGCAAAUAACGUCAAAUAACGUCACUACAAUUGAACCUAUGCAUUAUGAAGCUUCAAGGUGGUUUGCAAGGAAGUAUCUUCGUACGAGUUAAAGCUCUGUAGAUCGAAGUUCAAUAUCAGUUUAGUGAAGACAGAUGCAACUGAUCCGAGCAUGUCAAACAAGAAGCGAACUGGACCGUGAAGGUUACUUAUGCAUAACAGCAAGCAUCAGCGAUCGACUUUACCAUGGUUCGGUAGGGUGUCGAGCAGCGAGGCAGCACUCGUUCGUUGGCACAAUUUGGAAAAGUCACUGGCAAAUGGAGAUAUGGAUGACACAUCUGUUUCUCCAAAUUCUAAUAUAAACUUUGUGACGACAUCAAUACGCAAGCAGCUCUGAUUUUAACCAGUGUGUCUUCUCUUCGUGCAUUUCAAAUCGCUGCACAUUGUGAGAAAUGGUACCCUUUAGACUAUGUUGAAACGAUGUCUUCAACAUAAUCGUGAAUUUUUUUGAUACGGUGAAUUUUUUA